AAUGGCUUAAUUAGCUCAGGGGCUAGCCUAGAUUUGGCUAGCCAAGUGUUUGCACCAAGGCAGUUGUACAUCCAUCAUCAAGAGGGAGGCUAAUCAGGGCCAAGGUGGACGAGCAGUCUGCCUCCUCACAUCACAGCAACAGUGUGGCCCAGCAGUGUGCAAACAUGCUCCAGUGUGUCCCUGCUCAGAGAAGAAAAAGCUGGUGACGGGGAAACAGAUCAUGGCUGCACAGUCAGGAGCCUGCUGAGUCCUGCACACUCGGCAGCAGGAGAAGGGAGGGGAAACUGCAGCACUAUUGUCUGGAUGGGGUUGGCUUUGGGAUAGCUUUUAAUGGUGAGGGCUCCUGACUUAAGAUAGUAUUUCUUCCCCAGCAGGUCUGUUUGUUUCACCAGGACCUGCUUUCCCUGCGGGCUGCCGGGGCUUUUGCUGCUGGAAUCCCACCGAGGUGUUGAUAACCCUGCCUCUGGCUGCUUUGAGACCUCUGCCACGUGCCCUUAAGUUUCCUGUUGUCUGCCUUGCUCGGCUGGGACCACGGGGCUCCUGCUCAGCGCCAUCCAUCUCUCCCCAUCACAGGGACAGUAACAGGUUUUUCUGGGCGUACUCGCCAUGCUGGAUUCGCGACAGCUCCUGCAUUGCUUCUGUGAAACCCGCCUUCAACUCAGAGGCUAAUGCCUGCAACUAGAGGAACCACAAACACGAGGCUCUAGUGCUGCUGGAAGAGCUCCCAACCUAAGCUGGAGGCAGCCGGUUGACAGCUGGGCGAAGCAGGAGACAGAGCGGGGCGAGCCGCGCUGGCACAGCAAGCAGGCGAGGCAGGUUUGGAGGUGGGCAGUGAGGGGACACAGGCAGCUUGCCAAGCGGGGACACCCUCUUCAGGGAUACCUUGGGCCGUCAGCCCUGAGCUCUGCCCCCACUGCUGUGAGCAAGGCGCUUGUUCUGCCUGCACAAAGCCCACGGCGAGGUCGCGGCCCAAGGCGCUUCGGUACCAGUGUUUUUUACCUUUACAACAGAAAUUCGGCCUAACAUCUGGUUAUAAACUGAGUCCAAAACUGGAGCACUGAUGGUAAGAGGACAGCCACCCCGGGGAACUCAGGCGCUUGAGUCCUGUAAAUGGAGCAGAGAUGGCUUCCGAUACCUCGGGGCAAUGACAUGCACCAUCCUCCUCUGAUCAACACCAACAGCAUCUUUACAGAGGACGUCUGCCUGACAUCCCCACUCCUACCCCAGUGCCUACCCCACAGGUCCCCUACACAUUCCCAGAGCUGCCUGGGCAGGAGGAGUGGGACUGACAGGAGCUGGAAUGGGACAGGGGGAGAACAAGAGGCAGGAGGUGGGGGCAGAGGAUAUCUUCCCUCCUCGGGCAGUCAUCCCUAAUUCCCCAGGCCAGCUGGAGCUUAAGAUCCCUUGAUUCAGCCCCUACACAGUGGACACCUUCCUGUCACAGUGGUGGUUGCCCUGUGAGCAGUGAGUGUAGCCUGUUGGGUUAGAGGAUCUGCGUGGAGCCAUAGCUGCUAGGGGAGGCAAACCACACUGCUUCUGGUAUCUGUGCGUUUACCAGCGCCUAGCAAGAAACCCUCAAUUAUCCACCAGAAGUUACUGCUGGUUGUGCUGAACUGGCACUUUGAGGAGAUUGCAAUUUGAUUGCUGUCGGUUCCCAUUUUAUUCCCUAUGUCAGGCUCCAUUGGCCUUCACCUCCCAGAAAAUACCAUGCCACCUGGUUCCUCGUUUGUACUGCCUCCCCUCGGUAACAUCAAUUCACAAGGCAACCUCAUGAACUGGAAACCAACUUUUGGCCUGAAUGGAAUGAUGAAACUUUCUUUGGAUUCCUGGAGUCGGGGCUUGAGAAAGCAGCCAAUGUACUUACUGCAAGAAAACUCCAAGGUCCUGCUUCUGCAGCCCCCCUGCCCAGCACGUCACUAGGAGCUCUGCCAUCAGCCUCACCGCAGAGAUUCAGCGUGAAGGAUGCUGUCCGAAGAGCAUCCGUGGUUGCCCUCUAGUAACACAAGGAAACUCGCAGUUGUCAUGAGGGACGGUGCACGUAAGGAGGGGAAACUCACGGGUGGAACCCCCACUGCUGUACUACAGGACAAAGUGCAAGGAUUUACAGCCUCCAGUGGGGAAAAAAAGUAACUGCCGUGUGAACUGAGUCCUCAUAAACCAUGUAUUUCUGCUGAUCUUUGAAAGCUGUGAUCGAGCUCAUCGUUAAACCUGAAAACUGCUAUAAAGAAGAAAUGUAUGUAUCAGCGUCCCUUGUAAAUGAGGGGAAAAUAACUUCCAAAACCAAUUACUGGAGAUACUGGACUGUGGAGAUACUUAAAGAAAAAAUAAACCUAAAGUAAACCUAGGAAAUCUGACAGAGAAGUCAUAAGGAAAAUAAAUGUGAACAUUCUUUUGUGAGUUUUUACAGUUAUUUUUCUCAUUAGAUCUGUUUUGUGAAUUAUGAAGUGGGUAUCAACUUCUUGCUUUAGGAAAAGAUGGUGUCUUAGCAAUUCAAAACACCCUUAUUUAAAUGAAAUUAGCCUAGUUGUUGUUUUGUAUGAGUGGCACUAAAAUAUUUUAUUCUGAGUGAUAAAAAAUAAACCUCUGCAUUUUCUCUACAGAAUUUGUACCUCAAAAAUAAGUAAACAAAAACUUUGCAAACUAUCAGUGCAAAUCAGUGCUGUAUUUCUGCAUGUGUCUGUAGGCUUGAAAAAAUUCUGAAAUUUAUCUGAACUGUUCUCUUCUUCUUAACUCUGCCUGAGCCUGGAGACCUGGUAACACAAAAACAAGUGGGUGAGUGGAAGAACCACCUUGAAAACUUCUGACUGGGCUUGAAUCACUGGCUUUUAACUGAUCUGAUGAGAUGGAUACAACUGGAAUCAGCAAUUUCAGAUAUUCAGUGCAAGUUUCACUGGUAGCAAAAGAAACCUACUCCCAUGUUGGGUGAAUUUUAUUUGGACUUCACGCCUUAUCAAAUCAAAACUAAUAGAAAAGACUACAGA